AAGGUAAAAAACGUUCAACUUGCUGCAACCUAAUUGGUGGAAAACUGUUGCUUUUCACCGACAUUUGUUGUUCCCAGGUUUGAACCCCAUUAGCCUCAGGACCCCUGCUGACCCCCAGUCUGUCCUGUUGUUUCACUAAUAAUACUGCAGAGAUUCACUGACUUUGUAAAGUAACUACUGUUGUAGCUCAGGGGUUUGUGUUGUCUUCUGUUAAAUCGUCUGUUCUAGUUCCAAAAACAUCACGGAUGUUUCUCCUCACCUGUCAGUGAUCCUAAUUUCAUGCCUGAUUUAAAGGUGUGUAAUCACGUUGCGGUAAAACUAAUUACAUGCUGUUCACAGUGACUUUGAGUCGUGCAUAAUUGAGCCUCAGGAAACAAGCAGCUUGCGUUGAACCCAUGAGGCCAGUCGAACAAUUCUCAUUUGGUUUGCACUUUUGCUUCGUCACGUUCUGUUAAACCGGGGCAGAGACUUUAGACGGCGUGUUUCUGUUCGUGUUCUCAGUCUCACGCAUGUCGGCGCCGCCUCUGACCAGACUCUGAUGAGUCCCAUCACACAGACCACAGCGCCUCUGAUCUGCAAUAUUCUGGCUCAUAUUCAGAAGAAACUAUAAUUAUUACUGACAGACUGUUCUUCUCAGUGAUGAAGCAUGAACAGUUCUCAUUACAGAGCUUUAUUCAACACAUCACUGCUCAGAGUCAAACAGCUAAUGCAUGUAGCCGCUAGCUGACAUGCUAAAUAUGCUAACAGCUUGGACGCAUAUAAGGAAUCAACUGAAAAUAUGAACCAUUGCUGCCAACAAGUCAGGAUUUAGCGUCCAGCUGCCGGAGCCGGUCUGUACUCGCUGAAACAGGCCAGCCGCCCAGAAACGUUCAGAAUGCUAACCAGAAGCUCAGCGUAUGCUAGCAAUAAAAAGCAGCUGAGAACAAGAAUCCCCUGACCCCCCGCACCCCAACGACUCAUUGAUAGCGUCAGGCUGUUAGCGGCUCAAUCCGGCUGAGUGGCGGCGGUGUGAGGAGGUUAACGCAGAUCCACAGGCUGUGCAUUAAUCACUGGAAGGUCAGGCGGGGAAAGGCUGCUGCAGCAAAUUAGUUCUGGGCGACGGCAGGUGAUCCGAAUGCACACAAACCGCGGGAAGGUAAAACAAAAUCACCGGAUCAGACUGCCUGCAUUCAUCAGGCUGCUCAGGCAGACGUGACCAGCGGAGGAUCGUUAUGUCACCUGAACUCCAUCAACAGCUGCCGUUAAAUGAAUUCGAAGAGUUUCUGCUUCUGAAGGGAACCAACCAGCAGACUCUGGGAAGAUUUGGCUCAUUUUACCACGUAUGGAAAACGGUAACAAAACAGCCGGAGGAUAACAGCUCUGGGCUGAAACGUCUCCAUAACAAUCAGCAGACACAAAUGGAAACAUUGACUUUGACAGGAGGAGGAUGAGACCUUACAGGGAAACUGAAACAAGCUGGCAUCGCUUUACGGGCCACAGAAAACAGAAUCUUCACACUUUUUCAUUAAAAUCGUCCUGAGAACAUCAGAUUUCUCUUGAGCUCCUUUCAGGUUCUGUCACUUUUAUGCAAAUGAGCUGCUGCAGGCCACGCCCCCUACAUCAGUGUUCAUACUUUAUGAAGCAUGGAGGAAAAAACAACU